GGUUGCGAUCAUACCAGCACUAAUGCACCGGAUCCCAUCAGAACUUCGUUGUUAAGCGUGCUUGGGCGAGAGUAGUACUAGGAUGGGUGACCCCCUGGGAAGUCCUCGUGUUGCAACCCC
rnacentral:rRNA from 1 species